CUCCCUGUGGUGUAGUUGGAUAUCACGUUCGGCUGUAAAUGUUAGUUUGUAUACCGAAAGGUCACCGGCUCGAUUCCGGUCGGGGAGA